AUGGCGACCCAGGCGCGCGAGCUCCCGCCCAAGCCUGAGCUGCCCCGGGACAACGGCGACGACUACGAGGACGACGAGGAUGAUGAGGAGGAGGAGGGGUGGGACGACUGGGAGUCGGACGGCGACGACGCGGCGGGCGGCGGCGGCGGCCUCCUCUGCCUGUUCUGCAGCGCGCGGUUCGACUCCGACGGCCCCCUCUUCGCGCACUGCGGCUCCGAGCACGGGUUCGAUUUCCACAAGCUCGUGCGGGAGCUCGGGCUGGAUUUCUACGGUUGCAUCAAGCUCAUCAAUUUUGUGCGCUCCAAGGUUGCAGAGAAUAAGUGUUGGAGCUGCCCAGAGAUUUCCCAACUUGAGGGGAAGGUUCCAUGGGCGGAGGACUCAUACCUGAAGCCAUUCAUGGAAGAUGACUCGCUGCUGCACAGUUUGUCCAUCUUUGAUGAUGAAGAUGACGAGGACUGUGAGAUGCCAGUGGAAACAGGGGAGUGUUCAGCGGGCAAUGGGAGGUCAGGUGAACUGCAGGGGAAUGGUCUAAACACCAUUAUCGACGAUUGUUCUGACAUCAGUGCUAGGUUUGAGAAAGCAGUUACUACUGAAAGUAAUGGUGGAGAUAACAAUGGGUCUCUUUCAGAGGAACAGACUGAUAGGCAGCUGAAGAUUACACGUGCUAGUGUUACUGCCAAGGAAAUUAAAAAAGUGGAUGACAACUACUUUGGGUCUUAUAGUUCAUUUGGCAUUCAUAGGGAGAUGCUGGGCGACAAAGUAAGAACAGACGCUUACAGAGAUGCCCUUUUGGACAACCCUAGCCUCAUGAAUGGAGCAACUGUACUGGAUGUUGGUUGUGGUACAGGAAUUUUAAGUCUUUUUGCAGCGAAGGCUGGUGCAUCUAGAGUUGUUGCGGUUGAUGGGAGUGCAAAGAUGUCUUCUGUGGCUACACAAGUGACAAAAAAUAAUGGUUUAUUAUAUGACGAGAAUGCGCAAACAAAACAAAAAGGUAGCCCUCAAGUGAUAAGUGUUGUGCAUACCAAGGCUGAAGAGCUAGACCAUAAAAUAGUAGUUCCACCCAAUGGCUUUGAUGUGUUAGUAAGUGAGUGGAUGGGAUACUGCCUAUUGUAUGAAUCCAUGCUCAGUUCAGUCAUAUAUGCACGCGAUCAUUUCCUAAAACCUGGUGGUGCUAUUCUCCCGGAUACUGCAACAAUUCUUGGUGCUGGUUUUGGGAGGGGUGGAACUAGCUUACCAUUUUGGGAAAAUGUGUAUGGCUUUGAUAUGUCAUGUAUUGGCAAAGAAGUAACAGGGAGUUCGGCUCGAUUUCCUGUAGUUGAUGUACUUGAUUCUAAGGAUAUUGUGACAGAUACUGCUGUACUCCAUUAUUUUGAUCUGGCAACUAUGAAGGAAAGUGAAAUGGAUUUCACCGCGAGCUUGGAGCUAAGGCUUCCUGAAAGCGGUGCAGCUGCUGUACCAGGAGUAACCUGGUGCCAUGGCAUUGUCUUGUGGUUUGACACUGGCUUCACGGACAGAUUCUGCAAGGACAAGCCUGUGGUCCUGUCCACCUCUCCUUUCUCCACACCAACUCACUGGUCGCAAACAAUCUUCACCUUUGAAGAGCCCGUAGCGAUUACAAAUGAGAAAUCAGUCGUUGGCUCAUCUGCAUCAGUUGGCUCAGCGGAGUGCCCAGCUGCCACGAUCAGAUCCCGCAUCAGCAUCGUGAGGGCCUCCGAGCACCGCAGCAUAGACAUAUCAAUCGAAACCACGGGAAUCAGCUCAGAUGGCCAGAAGCACAGCUGGCCAGCUCAGAUCUUCAACCUUUGA
rnacentral:rRNA from 1 species